CCCUUUCCGCUCGCCGCUGCCCCACGCGGAGCGCGACUGCCGUCACCCGACAGGACUUUCUUCUGGUUCACCCCUGCAUACCGAGUGCUGAGAACGGGCAGCGCAUAGGAGGAACGCAGUCCCUACCUGUCACAUAGAUGCAGGUUGUCUUGCCAAAUAGAACUCCACCUGGGCACCCUGAGAGGGGUGGCUCAGGCCGGGGCAGGCCUGCUGGGCCAGGACCAGGAUCACUCACUCCAGGGGAAGCUGGCUGCUGAGUCAUGAAGAGGUCCAUGCAGCCCUCCGGAGAAGCCCAUGGGAGACACUGAGGCCUCCAGCCAACAGCGACCAACCCCUUGCUAGGGGUGAGGAAGACUCUUGGAAGACUGUUCAGCCCCAGAAAGCCUUGAGGUGAUCAUGGCUUAGACCAGCAUCUUAGCUGCAACCUCAUGGGAGACCUAGAGGCAGAGCCAUCCAGCUGGGCCAUUCCCUGGCUCCUGCCCUGCAGAAGCCCUGUGAUACCGUAUAAUUUGAGACAUUACUCAGUUCUAAGCUCAGAGAGGAGACUUCUUUUCAAGGUCAUUGCAUACGGUUGAGCAAGUUGGCCACUGCACAAACAUGCCCAGCAGAGUUGAUUUUCCAGCAAACCUUCAGAGGGAGAAGGAGAAAUUGUCCCUCGGCCCCUACAGUUUUGGCACUGUGAGCAGGAGACUGACACCAUUCUGCUCUCCUGGGAGCUGCAGUGAAGGAAACCCAGGACCUGACAAACUGGCAGAAGGAACAGAAGCCUAUGAUGCAGAUGUGGCCAAUCAGUGCCCUGGGGCUCCAGCAGCAGUGCAGGAAUGCGGAACUGAUCAUAAAGAUCCAACCAGCAUGAAGAAAUUCUGACACUGGAGGAAGGGCUACCGGGAGAAAACAUUUCUCUUUUCCCCAGCCAGCUGUCAGCUAGCCUGAGAGAAUGUGAGGCUGGGGCUACCAUCUUGCCACUAUGAAGAGAGAACCUGCUGAGCAAGGAGGCAACACAGAGCCAGAUAUGGAGAGAAAUAAGCAGUCUUGGAAUGCUGUUUCAUCCUCUGGAUCAAACCAUUCCUGAAGAUGCACUCGAUGGCCACAGGCCAAAGUCAGUGUCUCCUGGAGUGGCAGCUCUGAGACGUGUCCACAUGGGACCACAGUGUAGAGAAGCCACACACCACCAUGGUGCUCCUGAACCAGAAGAGAUCAUGGGCUUCUAUAGAGGGGGGUGAGCCAGGUACAAGGCAGUGGAGUAGGAAAACCUGGGCUGGGGCCAGCCACAGUGACUCACACCUGUAAACCCAGCGCUUUGGGAAACAAAGGUGGAAGGAUCGCUUGAACCCAGGGGUUUGAGAACAGCCUGCACAACAGAGACCUCCUCUUUAACAAAAAUAAAAUAAUUUUCCAGGUG